rnacentral:lncRNA from 1 species
CAGGGAUGCUGUGCAGAUGGCCAGUACUUGCAGUGUGAGCCAGCUCACUGGUACACAGAAAGCUGGAGUUUGAGAGGAGAGAGCAAAAUACAAAGUGUGUGUCCUAGACUCUCCCAUCUAGCCUUCUCAUGAGAUAGGCCAACAGCCUUCAACAGGUGAUGCUUCCUUCAGUAGCCCCACCUCCCUUGGCUUCUGCCCCUGACCUGGCUCAGGAGUCUUCAUGGGAACAGUGUGCCCUUGUCUUCAUCAAAAGCAGCCCUGCAGGGAGGAGGCUCGGAAGGAACUGGUUAAGAGAUCAGAGUAACUUUUGAGCUAAUGAGGACACUAGGUGACAUCAAGCCCAAACACUUUCUGAACAAGUGGCUGGUCCUGAGAGGUGAUCGAGGUCACACAACUAUAAGAUAUAAGCAGGAACUGAAAAAUCACAUCUCCAGACUCAUCACUUGGGCUUGGCCAUGGACUUGCAUAUCAUUGCUGAGAGAAGUCUCAACAGCAGCUUAAGUACUAUUGAAGACCUCAAGAUGACAAAUUUUCUCCAUCACUUCUAAGGCUGAAUUGUCAUAUCCAAUGUGCUUUAUGACUAUGCUUUGAUUUGUGCUGAUGGAUCUAAGGUGUGCACCUCUGGAGGCUUUGAGGUGGCUAUACUUCAGUUGUGGAUAAAGAGGUGAAGAAGGACAUCUAUGGUGAUGCUCAGUAAUAUCUGCGAAGAACUGUGGAGACAGACAAAUAGUCAAAGGAGAAUACAGAUGACUUUCAGAAGAAGUGUGAACAUCAAGCUGAGGAGCUUUUUUGAAGAGCAGGAUCUUUCUAUCAACAUGGGAUAGUGGAAGAUUAAAGUAGUGAUGACUACAUAUAGAAAUACAAAGUUGAAGUGAGAGACGCAAGUCUGAUACUGCAAAAGAAAAAUGUAAGAAACUUAGGACUCAACUUUAUCAAUGAGUUCGUUCAACUAUAGAAAUGCACUAGGGACUGAAUGGUGUCCCCCCAAAAUUUAUAUGUCAAAGCUCUAAUCCUCAAUAUGAUGAUCUCCAGAGAUGGAACUUUGGGGUGGUAAUUGGGUUUAGAUGAGGUUAUGAGGAUGGGGUCCUCAUGAAGGGAUUAGUGCCCUUAUAAGGAGAGGCCAGAGUGCUCACUUGUUCGCAUAUGCUCUUGUAUUCUCUCUCUCUCCUCAACCCCCACCAUGUGAGGACACAACAAGAAGAUGGUUGUCUACAAGCCAGGAAGAGAACCUUCACAAGGAACCAAAUCAGCGGGCACCGUGAUCACGAGACUCCCAGCCUCCAGAACUGUGAGAAAUAAAUGUCUGCUGUUGAAGCCAUCCAGUCCACAGUAUUUUGUUACAGCAGCCUGAGCAGAUUAAAAUAAAGAAAUGUAACUUGUGAGAUAGACAGAAAGGUAAGAAAGAGAAAAUGCAACAUAAAGUCUAUGCUUAAAGGAGCGCUUAUUAGUAGUUAAGAUGAGCUAGGCAAAAUAUAAAUGGUAGAGAAAUGAAAGAUGACAACACUCAUAACUUGCUCAUUCAUGCAACAGAUACGUGCAGAGUAUCUAUUGAAGGACCCUGCACUGGUACUUAGGAAUCAAACUUAAAUCCCACCUUCAAAUCUGACAGAGAUAAGACAUAGACAGACUGUUUUUUAUUUGGGUAAAUUAUUCAUACCCAUUAAAAGAUCUGUAGAUAAAUGCCUUUGGAUUUCUAAGAGGGGAGAUAUUAUUUUCAACUGGGAGAAACACAGGAAUAUCAUUUUAUGUACUAAGUAGCAUUUGGUGUAGAGCUUAUAGAGAAAUAGAAUGUUCACAUGGAGAGAAUGCUGUAUGGGGAACUCCAGAUGGAAUAAUUGGUAUUAGCUCUGGUCCCAGAGUAGUGACUAUCUUUGCAGGAAACCUCAGGUGUAAUCUUAUGGACCUCUGGAAAGACUGUAACAAAAUAACUAUUUAUGGAGAUGACUGGCAAAGUUAAGGACACGGACAAGGGACAUGAGGGGCCUAGGGACAGGCAACAGUGAGAAGUCACUCCUAGGAAAGAGUGUUCAGGGAGCCAGUGAAGAGUGUAGCCAUGUAGAAAGAAUGGCCUGACAGAGCAUUCAUCCUAGAGGGAUGCAGCUGCUGCAAGAGCCAUGAUGCUGAUGCAGGAGGAGAAGAGGGAGACAGAAGGAGACAGGAAGAGACAGGAGGAAAAGCCUCAGCCUCUCCCUUCCCACUCUCCAACCUCCCUGCUUGAACGCUCACCAGCUGAUCCCAACAAGAAACACAGUCAGUAGGAACAGCUCUGGAGCACAGCUUGAGGUAGAAAAUGGAGCAGGGUAGGGACCAAGUGGAAAAUAAUUGCCAUAGCUACUGAGACAGGAGAGAAGAAAAUGUGUAUAUGAGAAAACAGUUUGUUUUGGCUAGAAUAAAUGAUGCAUGAGGGCAAAAAGCCAGAGUGUGCUUAUAAAAGUAAGUGGUAGCUGAAACUCAUCAGAAUAAUGACAAAAUAAAGGGAAACGAAAAGACGUAUGAAUCUGGUGCUUAACUCAUCAGGGAUGUUUGGCGCCUUUCCUGGAAAUUACAGAUAAAAGCAACAGGAGUGGAGAGAAAUGACAUCAGAACAUAAGAGGUACCACAAAAUAUGAGUUAGUUUUUAGAAAUGUGAAUGUAGCAGUGGCCAAGAAGAGGCAGUAGAGAGAAAGCAGUACUCUGAUUCCUCCAUCUCACUCAAUGAGGUGAACAGGAAGAAUGCCAUUUAUUUUCUCGGACAAAGGCAGCAUAGUCUUUAGACACUUGCUUGGAUCAGGAGGGACAGGCUACUUCCAUGAUUUGGGUCAUUGUGAGGGAAGUAGUUAAGAAAAAAAAAAGAAGGACAGGAGAUAAGGGAACUAUUUGCGGGACUAGUAGAAAGAAGGCAGCAGUGAGAGCAGGGACAGGUGGAACAGAGCUAAAGAGGAAAGAGAGAAGGAAAAGGGAUGGCAGGGGAUGGUGAUUUUUAAUGGCAGGAUCAGAGAGUCACGUUGUCGGAAAGUUGAACAAAUAUAUAUUAGCCCCUGUGGGAAUUCUAGAGAGGAAAACCAGCCAUGAGACCUUUCUAAGUAUAUACUCUUAAGAGAAAUAUUGAUGUAGUAUUCAACCUCAGAGGUUAAGGAAUAGUGGGUUUCAGGAAGGACCUGGAGGGUGGUCAGCUGCACACGUAGAGGUGUGCUGCAGCCAGCUUGUACCAGCUCCUGAGAAUCAAUUGUGCACAUCUCUUUCCAACUCUGGGCUCUGUGGCUUCACAUAAACACCAAAAUAUGUCAUGGUAGGUGUAGUUCUACCCAUAGAAACUGGCAAAUGCUACAGAUGAGGGUUCCCUUCUCACAAAGUCAACUAUCAACCCCAGAGCCUCUUAUUAAACCUUUACCAGCACACCACUGAUCUGCUGCAGCUUCAAUUUGAGGACAGGUUGUUGCAAUGAGCACUGAGGAAGGUGUUGCAUGAGAACAUGUUCAUGAAAGAAGCAGCACCCUCUGCCAAAGAUCACCGGGUGAGUGUGUGCUGAGCAGGUGCAGGCAUGGUCCUCCUUAAAAGACUGGAAUCAGAGGCUGCUCAUUGAUUAGAACUACAUUUUGAUCAAGCUGAGAGAAUUCCAGGUGAUACAACCUGGAAUAAGCUAAGCAAAUAAAAAUAAGUCAUCAACAACCUGUCAGGCAUGCGGAAUUCAGUGAAUAGAAAAUUAACCCAUUCCUCUGAACUAAGCAAUGCUUGAUUUAGCUUCAGUGAGCCUUACAAGUGGAAGCUGGCACUUUCUUCCUGUUUGUUUGUAUCUACUGCAAGAAGUAAAAAUACAUACCACCUACCUGAAGCCUGUCAUGGUACUUGUGUUUCUGUAGGAAUAUUUUCUACAACAUCUUAAGUUACUGCUAGAAAUUGCCAGCAAUUGUGUCUGUGUUUUCCCAUUUUUGAAAGAAAUUAAUACUCUCAAUGCCUUAGAGUUGCUCCUUCCCACCUUCUGAUGCCUUGUCCUGGGCUUAGUGGAUGUAAAUUAAC